UGGAGGAACGGUGAAGGAGUUGGGGUACUUUUUUACACUCACUCAUUUUUGCUCUCCAUGUAGCCAAACGAGACUGGUAACGCCAGACGUGGUGUCGAUGCCACUGAAGCGUUUGGCCACCCUGUGCUUGCUGUAACUUGGACAGCUCUGAAGUGUCACCUCCCAGAGCCCUCUCUCUCUCUCUCUCUCUCUCUCUCUCUCUCUCUCUCUCUCUCUCUCUCUCUCUCUCUCUCUCUCUCUCUCUCUCUUUCUCUCUCUCUCUCUCUCUCUCUCUCUCUCUCUCUCUCUCUCUCUCUCUCUCUCUCUUCUCUCUCUCUUUCUCAUAGGCCCUGCUGGGAAAGCCCAGAUUUCCAUUAAACAGAGAAGCUAGCAUCCGCGAACCUACCUCCCAAUUUACCUACUUACCUCCCACCAUUACCUUACUCUUUGGUGAUUUAAAAGGUGCAAAAAAAAAAAAAAACACACAUACACCUCAACACGUGGGUCAAUCUGUGAAAGCUACUUUACUUUUUUUUUUUCAAUUUCAAGCCCAUGUGUACAGGAAGCUAACUGUUUCUAGGAAUGUACAAUAUACAAUACAUGCAGUAGUAUAAGGCCUUAUGUGAGCCCUCAUUUCUCUUUGAGUCUAGUGUCUGAUCAAGUCAACCUCUUUUUUGCACUCUUUCAAUGGGCAGUGCUCCUCUAUGUACGCAAGUUAUCCACUCUGUCUCCGUACAGACAUAUCACAAAUGCAGACAGCUCAUCACUUCCAUAUUACCUCAUCAGCGUACCUGAAAGCAGGUGCAUUAAUGUCCUUACAUCUGUAUACUUACACACACACAGAGACAGACAGACAGACACACACUAACUUAGACACACACAGUGUACCUGUAAUUAUCAUGUGUCCCCAUGUCAAUGUGCGACCCCUCCCCUCAUACCUCUCCAGCUGUAUAACUACUCGUAACUACCUGUAUCCACACCCUUUUACCUGCAGACAUGUACGCAGUAUGCCAUUGACUCUCACCAGUUUCGUUUGCUGUGUCUGUGACCUCAUCUCCUAAUUAACGAGAUUGCUGGCUUACCCCCUGUAACUUCAGGAGUAACUGCUGAUCUCCAAAAGAACUGCAUGUAUUCCUUCUGAAGUUUAUUUGAGAUUUGCGUGAACUCUCAAAGUUACCUGGUUAAGCCAUGUAACCUCGCUUCGUAGUUCACCCUAAAAGUCUCUCCAACGAGAAGAAAUUCUGUGCUGUUGGAUGCACCACACAACCCAGACACCUCAGUCACCACCUCCUGUGGCACCUCUGAGCCUGUGCAGUCUAAUGCUCAUUCUGUGCCAAUGGGCGCCUCAGUGUAGGGAUACUGACAGACAGCCUCAGUGCACCAGCUAAGGAUGUACUAGCAGUGGAUGCACUGGUAACAUGGUGUUGGCACUGCGAAUGGGGCUACGUAAAUUAAUGCAACUGAGAUUUGAUUGGAAAAUUGAGAUGGGAAAUUUCAGCACAUAGAGUUUUGACUGGGUUGGUGGAAAAAAAAAAUUGUUAUGAGUUUUCGGUCAUUACAUUUGCGUGCGUUUGAGCUGGGUGACCGUGGAUAGAGUGAUGUGUAGACGUGCCCAAAUAGAAAGGAACGACAGCGGUGUAUGCCUGAAGAUGCACAGCAUGUGUCGUUUUCACACACACACACACAUACACACACAAACACACACACAGAAACCUCGCUCCUUUGGGUUGCCUGAGAAUAGUAGGAUGGUGUUGACCUACCUCACUGUGGGCCCUCAGCCAACACAUUCUACCUCAGCUGUAGUGUCUGCGUGGCUGCCAUUGUUACACAAACACACACACACACAAACACACACAUACACCACAUACACAAACACAAACACACACAGACAUACAAGCAACACUCCCCCUCACAAUCCUUGCCAAGUUGCAAAUGACCUGCCUGUAUAACUGCACACACAACAAAUGACAUGCAUUUAACACACUGUUUUCACACUUUAAUUGCCAAUGCCCCACAAGGGAAAUGAUACGUUUUUGGAAAUAUAUGUGUGUGUGCGUGCGAGUGUAUUUGAUUUUUCACUUGGGACCAACAUCAUUUUUGAUCCCGCUUCUCAAAGACUGUGAUCCAAUACAGCUGUCAUCAGGAAUUUCUGCAACCGUUUACAGCAGCAACAACAACGACAACAAAUAACACCAACAAAAGCCUCUUCCGUCAGGUGGUGAUACAUUCAGCUCCAAUGUGAUUGGACUGAAGAUCAGGAUAGAUAGCCUGAUUGUUUUUUUUUUUUUUUUUUUUUUUUUUUGUGUGCAUGAUUUUCAGAUGCUCUGGUCAUCCAAAAACAAAAAGAGGGAAAUAAAAAUUAAGUAGAAGAAGUCUGUUGACCUCUGGGCCUUGAACCUUAGGAUGGCCUGGGCCUCAGGACUGCAGCAGCAUUGAGCAUGUGCAGACGGUGGGUCGAGCUCCUUCUGCAACCACUAGCAACCCCACCCUACCUUGCCCACCCUCCAACACUGACCAAUACUACCCAUAUGCACUUUCAGUACGAGUCUACAGGUCAGGAGCAUCACGACUCAGGCAUAGUCAAACGCGCCACCACCAGUGUCUACCAGCAUGGUCAACCACAGCAGUGCCCAGCCGUACUGACACUGGCCCCUCAGGCAAGAUUAAUCGCACCAGCACAGUCAAGCUCUGCAGCUGCCAUAAGACACCAACCUGGUCCAGUGCCAGCAGUGCCAAGCUCGGCGCACUCCACUGACCACACUCAGAAUUACAGGAAACAGCCAUUUUGUUCUCUGGGAGCAUUUCAGGACACGAUGAAUGAAUUCACAUGACGUAUAAGCUGGUUCCUGUUCCAUAACCACCCUCCUACCUUGCUCUGCCUGUCUCCCAUCAUCCCGAAGGGACUUAAAUGAAUGAACAGAGCACUCUGAAUGUCAUUUUCCCUUACCCUGCCCCAUAUUCUCCCUAGUGAUCUCGGUGUCACCCAAAACAUACUGACAAACAAUCAAGUGCUGAAAACAAUCACCCACAAUCCACCUGUGCAGCUCACAUGCACUCAUUGCAAAGUCUUCGCCAAAUAGGGUUCAUUUCCAAUAUAGUGGUGUGGGGGCUUAAUUCAGUUCCAACGUGAACAGCAACGUAUUGGCUGUGGAUGCGGCCACCACGUCCACACACGAGAGGAAUGUACUGUAGUGGAGACUUUAGUGUGGGGAAAACUUCGGCCCCAUAUGGUAUUAUGUUAUGGACAGACAGGUCAUUUAAAAUGACCUUUACAGUUACUCAGCUGUAAAGCAGUUGCUUCUUUGCGGCAAGCAGAGAAAACUGAACAUUUAAUGUAAGUGCAUAAAAAUGUUGGAAUUAAGUUCAUGCGGCGUGGACAUCAGUUUUGUACACUUGAUUGUCGUUUGUCUUUGUUUUAUAUUUCAUUUAAUUGUAUCUUUGGCUGUGAUAAAGUGCUCUGUGGCAACUGUAACCGACGCUUACCAGGUCAGCAAUGGACAUGACCUCCUUUUGCUUUGUAUGUACUGGUUAUCUUUCCAUGACUAUGUCUGUCCAAUAUAGUAUAAACCUAUCAUUGUCAGUGUAAGCAGAACAUGUUUGUGUUUGAUUUGAAAAAACAGGAAAAAAUUAUCAUUGAGAAACCUACUCAUACCUCAAUCACAAUGCUAAUUUAUACUCUGAAAGAAUGUUCUGACAACCUCUUUUUUCCCCCCCAGAAACCAGAAAGCUACUCUUUUUUUCUGCAAUGUUAACAACACUAAGCAUUUCUCCCCAUUGUUUGUGAGUGUCCUAUUGUGUGGUGCAGUACAGUGUUUGGGUGUAUUCGUUAGUUUUUUGUUCAUCUAUACAAGCCCCCAAAGUGAGUGUAAGUAAUUCACAAAACAUUCAAGACUGAUCACUUCAGUGAAGGUAUACACUAUGCCCUUGGGAAUCUAAACCAUAGCUGAACAAGAGCCCUAUCAUACCUUACAUUAAUAGGUUGAUAAAUGUAUGCAUGACAAAGACAACCUGCUUAGACAAAUGUCUUAGUCUAUAGAGGUUGGUCACAGAGAAGUUUCCUUUCAAAGACACAGUUUGGGAUGGAUUGGAUAUCCAGGAUCGGCCAUGUGUCAUUUAUGGAUAGCAGUCUUAAGUUCUUCAGAGAGAAAAACCUUCGCACCAUAAACUCAGUUUCUAUCAGGCUCUUCUCUAAAGCGAGAGAAUCAAAUAGUUUUUGUUCUGUUCACAUUGUUGGUCACAUUGUGAAUGACUUAAUGACUGAUUACUGUGUUUGAUUGAAUUUUGGAUCUGUUUUUUUAUGGUAACCUUUUUAUAGUACAUUAUGGACUAAAGUAAGACAUCGCAGAUAUUUGUCCAACAAGAAUUAGUUUUACGGUCUCAAAAUGUUUCAUUUAAAAACAAAGAAAAAAACUCACAAUGAUGAAAAAAAAGUCAGUCUCAAGACAGCAAUUGUUUUCCCUUUUUUUCUUCUUUUUUUAAAGACAAUUCACAGAAUGUAAAUAUAUUAUAUCCUGGAUCUUUUUUAUUUUAUAUAUAAUGCAUCUUGAUGUUUGAUAUAUCUGGACACAUACACACAUUUUUACUGAAUUAAUCAAUUUGAAUGACAAUAUAAUGCUUGCACACUCACAGCUUAACGUGAGCACACUUGACAGGACCUUCUGUCUGCAUUAUGUUCUUAAAGUUCUAAACAUACACAUUUUCUGUACGGCUAUCAUGCUUGUGUGCAUUUAUAAACAUUCACAGUCCUACUGUUUGGAUGUGAUGCCACUUAACAUGAUAUUGGAGAUAUAAGAUGAUAUUUAAUGUGAUGAAUAGAGUAUGUCAAUUUGGAUGUUGGACCCUUCAGGGCAUGUGUGUGGAAAGGCCAGCAAAUCAAAAUUGAAGUUUCCCAUUUGGAGUUCUUUCUUGAUUUAUCCCCUCCAUGGUAACAUUACUAACGUUAAAAAAGAUGUACACAACUAAAUGAAAUAAUAUUGAGAGAUGAAAGAAGUUAACAUUCACAAGUUUACUUUUUAUUAGUGACAUCACUAGAAUAUUUUCAGCAAUUUUGGAACAUUUCUGAAUCCUUCUGUAUCCCUGACCCAUGCCUGACCUGGACAAGGAAAAGAAAUAUUGGUAGAUGCAGCUUGAAAAUCCACACUGGAGUGGGACAAUGCAAUUAAUUACAGUAAACAAACAAGCAAACAAUCACAGAGCUGCAUUCAUGAACCACAUGGUUGGAAGUUCUUCACUUCUGGUGAGAAAAAAAGAAAUUGAGUUGCUCAGAUUUGUACAACCACCUGUCUAAAAGCAUAACGAGAUUGUCCUGGGGUUUUUGUUUUAUUUUAAGAAUAAUUUCAGAUGAUAACUAACAUGUGAUAAAUUGGCUCUUGUGUUUAGCCUGCCUCUUUAUCUUGUGGUCUGGUGCCAAAUGUUGGCAACAAAUGCCUCACUGGAAAACAUCUAUGCAAUUUCCAGCUAUAUUUAUGAUAACGUCAACGAGCAAUCAUUGGAAAAUCUCUGCAAAAGGCCUUCAGUGCCCAGCUGAAGAGAGAAUCAAAAUGAGGAAAUGAUUGGAAUGAUUGUGGUGGCCCGUCUGAGAGAUUAUACUGAUUCUGUUCAGGACGUGUGAGAAAUGAUUGCGCUAUACAUAAGUAUUCCAUUUGAAAAUGAAUAAGAAGACCGCUCAUUGCACUGCUCAGACUUGCCCUGUAGAGGUGGUGGAAUAUGAGGAGGAUAGGGUAAGGUGUACAUAACAGUUUUUUUGACAGUUCGCCACUGAAGUACCUGUCCACAUCUAAACAUGCAUUUUUUUUUUUUUUAUGUUCUUUAUUCAGUGCGUAUGCUUGUUUGCACCUGUAAGUGUUUCAUGCUCCCACUCAGAUAGUCACAGAGUGACUUUAAAACAGAUUAAAUGCCCUCCCUAUUAGUAAACCUUUUAGCGGGCAGCAGCACCUGAAUUGGGUGCCAUCUUUUACCCCAGUCUAUGUACAUGGAGAAACUAUGCAUAGCACUUUUUUCCUCAGCCAAAGGUAUAAACGACAAAUAGAGGUCCUGCCAAGUUAGGCUUGCAGAACCUGGCCCUCGGUCCAGGCCUCUUCUGGCCCAGCAUCAGCAGCAGCGAGUGUGGGGGUGGCAGUGAGCGAUAUCGUCAGACGUCACCAUUGAUGGUGAUCAUAGAGCUGAAUCAAGAGCUAUUAUGGAGCUUGAGUAGAGACACUUAUAGAUGCAUCCAUGUUUUUAACCCAGUGAGAAGAGACGCGAAAGGCUUAGGGGGUUUUAAUCCGAAGGAUGACUCAGGUAUAUAAGACCAUGACUUUUUUCAUUUUAAUAAAUGGUUAUUGUCUAGAC